AAACAUCUCUUUUUAAAUGUAUUCUAACCUUCUAACAAUCCACCAUUCCAUCCAUCCAUACAGCCAUCCAUCAAACCUCCCAUUCAUUCAUCCAGUUACUUGACAAUUUAUAUAGUAAUUAAGCCAACUAUCUUUCCAUCAACCCUCGAUCGUCCAUCUGUCUAUCAGCACUGCAGCCAUCCAUCCAUCCAUCCAUCUAUCCAUCCAUCCAUCCAUCCAUCUAAUUUCACGUACUGCUUCAGUCAUUAUUCUCAUGCUCCAGAUUAUGAAGUAAAAAAAUCAAUUUUAUUGUUUCCUUCUCUCUUUUCCUUUCCUUUUUCCUCUCAUCUUCGUUAUAGCUUCUUUUUCAACACAUGAGGGACGACUGUGAGGAGUAUAAAUCCACCAGCAGGAAAUAAAACAGUGUGAGAUUUCCUGAUCAGCAGUCAUUAUGUGUGUACUGCAUUCCUUUGACCUCUGAUGAUGCAUUAAUAGCCACCUCUCUUUACCACUGUAGAUCCCCCCCCCCCCACCAUUUUGAUUCAGCUGCAGUCAUAUACAGAGGGCAUUUAAAGUGAGGCUGUUGUGCUGUGUGUGACUUCCCUGCCCUCAGCUGUUGAUUUGCUGCUGUUUUGUCUUCUGCAGCUGCUCUGAAUCCUGACGAGCUGACGAGCCCAAGCACUGAUGGGUGUGGUCUCUAAUUGAGGAAAUGCUGUAUUUAAGUUCCAGCUCCACAUGGAGUCAGUGCCUUACCCUGCCUGUGGUCACUUCCUGGGUGGGUUGCUACCUUGUCUUUGUUAUGCUCAGGCUGCAAAGUGAUCUUUGCUUGUAUGUUUUGUUUUGAUUUCUGCCCAUUGCCUUGUCUUUUUGGAGUUUGCACCUGGAAUUCUCACUCUUUUUUGGCGUGAUGAAGCACUACACUUGUGGGUUUUUAUUGAUCCUGAAGCAAAUGGAAACUUCCUGGUUACAGCCCUGACCAAGCAGCUGGAGCUCCAGAUGGUCAUUCUCCACUCUCACCUAAUGCACCAAAACUUAACGUGGAAGGUAGAGGAGCAAGUCCGCUUUAUGUUCCUCCUGGAGCUCCUUCCUCCCAUGGGUUGAAUUGGCCGAGACUCCCUCUUCUCAUCAGCCACAGGGCUGGAGUGGUGGUGUAAUGGAAGUACCGCUUGCCCUCCCACUCGAAGGUGCUGGUUUGAAUACCAGCUUCUCCCUAAAUCCCAAGUUGGGCUGCAUGAGGAAGGGCAUCCCUACAACUUUCAGACCACGGGACAUGAUGUGAAUCAGGGGUGCUGAGCCAACCCCAGCUCUCAACUACUAGGGUGGGGGGACACCCUGGACCUUUCCGAGUCCAUAGAGGGUCACACACAGAGACAGGAACCAUGUAUUUGCAUUUACAGCCAAUAUGGAGCGAACAUUCAACCAGAGCUGCAUGGAGAGGAAACUGGAGACCUGGUGAAACAAUUGAAGCAUCCAAAAAGGGGUCUUUUUGAUGUCAGUGAAACCUAACCUCAGGGAGGUCUGUUGGAGCCUGCACCAUUCUGCUGGCAGUGGGAUCCGCUCAGAAACGUUGGCUCCUCCUCGAUUCCAAGUGCUAAAAAAAGUGUUUGUAAUUAUGUUUAAUGUUGGUGGAGUAAAUGUGCUUUGAAAGGUUAAGGAUUAACGUGUUGAGCCGACUGCCUACAUACUGUGUGGUAUUUACAGCAAACUUUAUAAUGAAAGAACUCUCCUUCUCUGCCUACCUUCGCAAUUGCAACUUGUUACUGUAGUAAACUAAUACAGGGAAUGGAGUACGACAGGUGGUAAUUUACAGGUGGUAAUUUGUGUGGUUCAACUCACAUGUGAUGUGUUAAAAGGUGGACCCUAGAAUAUUUUCCAUGUUGUCCAGGCGUGAAGGGAGACGUGCGGUAGCUGUUAGUCGUUAAAACACUAAAUGUGACUUUAUUUUAUCUACAUUUAUUUCCUUUUACUAUUUAUUCUGCUUUGUUUUCUUGGAGUCUGUUAUUUCCAUCUAAUUUGCACUUAUAAUUUGUUUUCAAUAUUGUUGUACUAAUUUUGGUAAUAACAUUUAUGAAAUGUAUUUUAAAUUAAAUUAAAUUUUUAAAAAUAUCCAAAUAUAGCACUUUUCCUGUUCAAACUAAAUUACAUAUUUAUACUUUUAAGCGAGUGUGCACUUAAAAGAAGUAAU